rnacentral:rRNA from 1 species
UACGUAGGGUGCAAGCGUUAAUCGGAAUUACUGGGCGUAAAGCGUGCGCAGGCGGUUAUGUAAGACAGGUGUGAAAUCCCCGGGCUUAACCUGGGAAUUGCAUUUGUGACUGCAUGGCUAGAGUGUGUCAGAGGGGGGUAGAAUUCCACGUGUAGCAGUGAAAUGCGUAGAUAUGUGGAGGAAUACCGAUGGCGAAGGCAGCCCCCUGGGAUAACACUGACGCUCAUGGCACGAAAGC